rnacentral:rRNA from 1 species
GAUGAACGCUGGCGGCGUGCCUAAUACAUGCAAGUCGAGCGAACGGACGAGAAGCUUGCUUCUCUGAUGUUAGCGGCGGACGGGUGAGUAACACGUGGAUAACCUACCUAUAAGACUGGGAUAACUUCGGGAAACCGGAGCUAAUACCGGAUAAUAUUUUGAACCGCAUGGUUCAAAAGUGAAAGACGGUCUUGCUGUCACUUAUAGAUGGAUCCGCGCUGCAUUAGCUAGUUGGUAAGGUAACGGCUUACCAAGGCAACGAUGCAUAGCCGACCUGAGAGGGUGAUCGGCCACACUGGAACUGAGACACGGUCCAGACUCCUACGGGAGGCAGCAGUAGGGAAUCUUCCGCAAUGGGCGAAAGCCUGACGGAGCAACGCCGCGUGAGUGAUGAAGGUCUUCGGAUCGUAAAACUCUGUUAUUAGGGAAGAACAUAUGUGUAAGUAACUGUGCACAUCUUGACGGUACCUAAUCAGAAAGCCACGGCUAACUACGUGCCAGCAGCCGCGGUAAUACGUAGGUGGCAAGCGUUAUCCGGAAUUAUUGGGCGUAAAGCGCGCGUAGGCGGUUUUUUAAGUCUGAUGUGAAAGCCCACGGCUCAACCGUGGAGGGUCAUUGGAAACUGGAAAACUUGAGUGCAGAAGAGGAAAGUGGAAUUCCAUGUGUAGCGGUGAAAUGCGCAGAGAUAUGGAGGAACACCAGUGGCGAAGGCGACUUUCUGGUCUGUAACUGACGCUGAUGUGCGAAAGCGUGGGGAUCAAACAGGAUUAGAUACCCUGGUAGUCCACGCCGUAAACGAUGAGUGCUAAGUGUUAGGGGGUUUCCGCCCCUUAGUGCUGCAGCUAACGCAUUAAGCACUCCGCCUGGGGAGUACGACCGCAAGGUUGAAACUCAAAGGAAUUGACGGGGACCCGCACAAGCGGUGGAGCAUGUGGUUUAAUUCGAAGCAACGCGAAGAACCUUACCAAAUCUUGACAUCCUUUGACAACUCUAGAGAUAGAGCCUUCCCCUUCGGGGGGCAAAGUGACAGGUGGUGCAUGGUUGUCGUCAGCUCGUGUCGUGAGAUGUUGGGUUAAGUCCCGCAACGAGCGCAACCCUUAAGCUUAGCUGCCAUCAUUAAGUUGGGCACUCUAAGUUGACUGCCGGUGACAAACCGGAGGAAGGUGGGGAUGACGUCAAAUCAUCAUGCCCCUUAUGAUUUGGGCUACACACGUGCUACAAUGGACAAUACAAAGGGCAGCGAAACCGCGAGGUCAAGCAAAUCCCAUAAAGUUGUUCUCAGUUCGGAUUGUAGUCUGCAACUCGACUACAUGAAGCUGGAAUCGCUAGUAAUCGUAGAUCAGCAUGCUACGGUGAAUACGUUCCCGGGUCU